rnacentral:rRNA from 1 species
UACGUAGGGUGCAAGCGUUGUCCGGAAUUAUUGGGCGUAAAGAGCUCGUAGGCGGUUUGUCGCGUCGAAUGUGAAAACCCGGGGCUCAACCUCGGGCCUGCAUUCGAUACGGGCAGACUAGAGUUCGGUAGGGGAGUCUGGAAUUCCUGGUGUAGCGGUGAAAUGCGCAGAUAUCAGGAGGAACACCGGUGGCGAAGGCGGGACUCUGGGCCGAUACUGACGCUGAGGAGCGAAAGCAUGGGUAGCGAACAGG